AGAGUUUGAUCCUGGCUCAGGAUUAACGCUGGCGGCGUGCAUAACACAUGCAAGUCGAACGAUGAAGAUUAUUAGACUUCUUCGGAAUGAAAAUAAUUGGAUUAGUGGCGGACGGGUGAGUAACGCGUGAGUAACCUGCCUUACACAAGGGGAUAGCCGUUGGAAACGACGAAUAAUACCCUAUGAAACUAUCACUUCGCAUGAAGCGAUAGUCAAAGUGUUAGCGGUGUAAGAUGGACUUGCGUCUGAUUAGCUAGUUGGUGAGAAAAAAGCCCACCAAGGCAACGAUCAGUAGCCGGCUUGAGAGAGUGUACGGCCACAUUGGGACUGAGACACGGCCCAGACUCCUACGGGAGGCAGCAGUGGGGAAUUUUGCACAAUGGGGGAAACCCUGAUGCAGCGACGCCGCGUGAUUUAGAAGGCCUUCGGGUUGUAAAAAUCUUUUGUAUAGGAAGAAAAUGACAGUACUAUACGAAUAAGGUCCGGCUAAUUACGUGCCAGCAGCCGCGGUAAUACGUAAGGACCGAGCGUUGUCCGGAAUCAUUGGGCGUAAAGGGUACGUAGGCGGGUCAUUAAGUUAGAAGUCAAAGGCUAUAGCUCAACUAUAGUAAGCUUCUAAAACUGGAGACCUUGAGUAAUGGAAGGGAAAGUGGAAUUCCUAGUGUAGCGGUGGAAUGCGCAGAUAUUAGGAGGAAUACCGGUGGCGAAGGCGACUUUCUGGCCAUUAACUGACGCUGAGGUACGAAAGCGUGGGUAGCAAACAGGAUUAGAUACCCUGCUAGUCCACGCCGUAAACGAUGAGUGUUAGGUGUCUGGAGUAAAUCUGGGUGCCGCAGCUAACGCAUUAAACACUCCGCCUGGGGGAGUACGCACGCAGGUGUGAAACUCAAAGGAAUUGACGG
rnacentral:rRNA from 1 species